rnacentral:misc_RNA from 1 species
AAUCCGAGAAUUUCACCUCCAACUGCAAAAUCUGAAUGCCACUAAUUAUCCCCAUCUGCAAUCACCACGUAUCAGCCACCUGCAGCACAAAUACGAUCCACUGCUGCUAUUCCAUGCUAUUGUGUUCGGUGCAUACGCAUGCCCGGAGCACUGAAAUUUCCUCGAAGUAAACGAAGCGGAUCUACAUACUACAUGUGAUUGCGAGAAGCUGUAUCCGCACAUAUGCCGGGGUGCGCUGAUGCACACCCCGCGGGCGGAUCAAUCGCCCCCGGCAGGCAUACGACUACGAGCAGUUUAACCACAACAACUCUAAUAUACACUAUUGGAGCUGGAAUUACCGC